GUCCAAUAUUAUGUUCCAGCACUGCCCUUGAAUUAAUCAACCAAGUAGAAGUUGAAGUUCAGUUGGAAUCCAUAUAGUCUAGUAGUUUUUUACUAUGAAUAGCCCCCUAUUGUUGAUAGAGAGCUUACCGCCCCGCCCUUUAUAGUCGCGACUGUUGUCAUGGAAAAAGAGUUUGUUUUCUGUCAAAGAAGCAUGCUUAACACAGCCUAUAGCAUAAAGGCAUUCGAGCCGCGUCUAAACUAAAUGUUGGGCAAGGGCCCGUACUCUCUCUUCUGUGGAUACGCUAUCCCUUCCAGCUAUGGUACGGCAAAGGGGAGGUGAGAUCUACUUAUUGAUUUUAUAUUAGAUGAGCGGCCGUACUAUGAUCGUUCGGGAGACAUGGGCCCACGCGCUACACACAAGAAUGAAUUGUUAUGCGGUCGGUAAACUCUUUCCUUUCUGCGGGCAGCCUAUCAAAUCGGAUCACGUAUUUUUGAAUAUGUCGUUACAUCAUGUACAUGUAUUCGGUUUUCCAUUUUUUUUUAUGUUCCUGCUCGUGCCCGGA
rnacentral:lncRNA from 1 species